rnacentral:rRNA from 1 species
CAGUCGCCGCGGUAAUACGAAGGGUGCAAGCGUUAAUCGGAAUUACUGGGCGUAAAGCGUGCGUAGGCGGUGAGUUAAGUCUGCUGUGAAAUCCCCGGGCUCAACCUGGGAAUGGCAGUGGAUACUGGCUCGCUAGAGUGUGUCAGAGGAUGGUGGAAUUCCCGGUGUAGCGGUGAAAUGCGUAGAGAUCGGGAGGAACAUCAGUGGCGAAGGCGGCCAUCUGGGACAACACUGACGCUGAGGCACGAAAGCGUGAGGAGCAAACAGGAUUAGAUACCCCCGUAGUCCCUGUCUCUUAUAC